rnacentral:rRNA from 1 species
ACGGAUCCUUCGGGAUUAGUGGCAGACGGGUGAGUAACGCGUGGGAAGCUACCUUGUGGUAGGGGACAACAGUUGGAAACGACUGCUAAUACCCUAUGAGCCCUAUGGGGGAAAGAUUUAUCGCCAUGAGAUGUGCCCGCGUUAGAUUAGCUAGUUGGUAAGGUAAUGGCUUACCAAGGCGACGAUCUAUAGCUGGUCUGAGAGGAUGAUCAGCCACACUGGGACUGAGACACGGCCCAGACUCCUACGGGAGGCAGCAGUGGGGAAUAUUGGACAAUGGGGGCAACCCUGAUCCAGCCAUGCCGCGUGUGUGAUGACGGCCUUAGGGUUGUAAAGCACUUUCAGCAGUGAAGAUAAUGACAUUAACUGCAGAAGAAGCCCCGGCUAACUUCGUGCCAGCAGCCGCGGUAAUACGAAGGGGGCUAGCGUUGUUCGGAAUCACUGGGCGUAAAGAGUACGUAGGCGGACUGAUAAGUUAGGGGUGAAAUCCCAAGGCUCAACCUUGGAACUGCCUUUGAUAC